UAGCAAGUGUUGAUUGGUUUAAGUGGGAAGGUAGGUAACCUCACUGACAUGGCAGCAUGCUGAAAAUAGGGGCUUGGAGACCUGGUCUCAUCCACAUGGAAAGAGAUGGCCUGUCUAACUGUGGGUGUCAUGAAAUGUAGGUAUCCAGGUCUGGGGAGUCAACAAUGCCUUCUAAUCUGUCUUCUGCAGAAAAGCUGUUGUAAAGAGAUGUUGAUCCCAUUUGUCCAAUGGAAGUCCGUGCUGAGAAACUGAUAGGUGAUGCUCAGUAGGAGGGGAUGUGUGGCUGAAGCUUCCUGCCUCUGCUGGUUGCAGUCAAACUGCUAGCACCACCUAAGCUAUGGGAUAUCAGGGAGGUGUCCCUACUCCCAAGGCUGGGGAAGCUUGCAGAAUUCAUAGCCUGAGCUUCUGAAUGUAUUUGAGAGAAGGUGGGAUGA